rnacentral:rRNA from 1 species
GUCUACGGACAUGCCACCCUGAACAUGCCCUAUCUCAUCUGACCUCGGAAGCUAAGUAGUGUUGGGCCUGGUUAGUACUUGAAUGGAAGAUCACCUUGGAAUACCAGGUGCUGUAGGUG